rnacentral:rRNA from 1 species
AUUGAACGCUGGCGGCAGGCCUAACACAUGCAAGUCGAACGAGUGGCGGACGGGUGAGUAAUGUCUGGGAAACUGCCUGAUGGAGGGGGAUAACUACUGGAAACGGUAGCUAAUACCGCAUACCAUCGGAUGUGCCCAGAUGGGAUUAGCUAGUAGGUGGGGUAAAGGCUCACCUAGGCGACGAUCCCUAGCUGGUCUGAGAGGAUGACCAGCCACACUGUAACUGAGCCACGGUCCAGCCUCCUCCGGGUGGCAGCAGUGGGGAAUAUUGCACAAUGGGCGCAAGUCUGGUGCAGCCAUGCCGCGUGUAUGAAGAAGGCCUUCGGGUUGUAAAGUACUUUCAGCGGGGAGGCGUUACCCGAAGAAGAAGCACCGGCUAACUCCGUGCCAUCCGCCGCAGUAAUUC